UAAUUCACUAUAUUGUUCGCCAGAGUACUACAAGCGCUAGCUUGAAACCCAAAGGACUUGGCGGUGUCCCAAACCCACCUAGAGGAGCCUGUUCUGUAACCGAUAAUCCCCGUUAAACCUCACCACUUCUGGCCAUCCCCGUCUAUAUACCGCCGUCGUCAGCUCACCCUGUGAAGGUAAAAAAGUAAGCAAAAAGAAUUAACUUCUACACGUCAGGUCGAGGUGUAGCAAAUGAAGUGGAUAGAAAUGGGCUACAUUUUCUAUAAAGAAGAUACGAAUGGUAAACUGAAAAAUUACCUAAAGGUGGAUUUAGCAGUAAGAAAAGAUUAGAGAGCUUCUCUGAAACUGGCUCUGGGACGCGCACACACCGCCCGUCACUCUCCUCAAAAAAAUCUACUUAUUUAUAAUUAAAAGAAAAUUAUCAAGAGGAGGCAAGUCGUAACAUGGUAAGUGUACUGGAAAGUGCACUUGGAAUC
rnacentral:rRNA from 1 species